CCUUUUGGCCAUGUACAGGUGCAUCUCAAAAAAUUUUAAUAUCAUGGAAAAGUUCAGUUUUUCCCAUAAUUUUAUUCAAAAAGUGGAACUUUCAUAUAUUUUAGAUUCAUGACACAUAAAGUGAAAUAUUUCAAAAAAUUUUUUGUUUUAAUCUUGAUUAUAGUUUACAGCUCAUGGAAAUCAAAAAUCCAGUAUCUCAAAAUAUUAGAAUAAAGAAUUUAUAAUACAAAAAUGUCAAUCUUCUGAAACGUAUGUUAAUUUACUUGGUCAGGGCUUCUUUUGCAUGAAUUACUGCAUCGAUGCAGCAUGGCAUGGAAACAAUCAGCCUGUGGCACUGCUGAGGUGUUCUGGAAGCCCAGGUUGCUUUGAUAGCGGCCUUCAGCUCAUCUGUAUUGUUGGGCCUGGUGUCUCUCAUAGAUUCUCUAUGGGGUUCAGGUCAGACGAGUUGGCUGGCCAGUCAAGCCCAGUAAUACUGUAGUGGGGUGUGUGUCGUGGUUAAAACGUCACCCUUAUUAACUAUGUGGCCAAUGGGCUCUCUCCCUACCACAGUAUAUAAAUGGUCGUUGCGGCCUCUCAGAAUGCGUCAUGGUGGAAAACCUGCCCCUUCCUUUCGUUACUACGGGCUACAAAGAUAUGUGGUUUUAGCUUUGUUGCUUAGCCGUGUGAUGCUAGCGUUGUCCAUUUACCAUGCGAUUUACUUGUUUAGUGUGACAUUGGGCUACUGAGUCAGUGUGUGGGUGUGAUGUGCUGCCCAAUCUCAGUGCGGUGUGCCGUCAAGGCUCCCAACUGUGUAGCUUGUACAUGACUUUCGUAUGUACCAUCGUGAGUAUCAUGUCAUCGGAUCACGGAGCUGAGUGCUUCCUGAGGCGGGGGUUUGCUGCACCUUUAGGCUUUACUUAAGGGUCGCCAUUAUUGCUGUUUGUAGUGAAUUUUGUGGAUAUGAUUCUGAUUAGUGGGGUGCUUUUCCCUUUUGUCUAGCGGAUGCUGUUGUACUAGCCUGCCCUUCAUACAGUAAGCAUCAGUCCUCCUAUGAUAACUUUCUCUUGUGACCGUUUUAUUUGACCAAUGCCUGACUGUGUUGGCUGUUUCUUUUAAAAUAGUUCUUGGCCAGUCUUUUUAACUUCAAAAUAAAAUGUAUUUUUGUAUGGAAA